AGCAGCCGCGGUAAUUCCAGCUCCAAUAGCGUAUAUUUAAGUUGUUGCAGUUAAAAAGCUCGUAGUUGGACCUUGGGUUUGGUCGUCAGGUCCGCCUUUGACGAGCACCUGGCGUCCUGUCCCUUUUGCCGAUGUUACGAAUCUGGCCUUAAUUGGUUGGGUCGUGCCUUCGGCGCCGUUACUUUGAAGAAAU
rnacentral:rRNA from 1 species